ACGAACGCUGGCGGCGUGCCUAACACAUGCAAGUCGAGCGGAGACAGUGAGUAGCUUGCUAUGAGCUGUUUUAGCGGCGGACGGGUGAGUAACGCGUGAGCAACCUUUCCCAGACAGGGGAAUAACACACCGAAAGGUGUACUAAUACCGCAUAAGACCACGGAAUCACAUGGUUCUGAGGUAAAAGAUUUAUCGGUUUGGGGUGGGCUCGCGUCCGAUUAGGUAGUUGGUGAGGUAACGGCCCACCAAGCCGACGAUCGGUAGCCGACCUGAGAGGGUGAUCGGCCACAUUGGGACUGAGACACGGCCCAAACUCCUACGGGAGGCAGCAGUGGGGAAUAUUGGGCAAUGGAGGAAACUCUGACCCAGCAACGCCGCGUGGAGGAAGAAGGUUUUCGGAUCGUAAACUCCUGUCCUUGGAGACGAGUAGAAGACGGUAUCCAAGGAGGAAGCCCCGGCUAACUACGUGCCAGCAGCCGCGGUAAUACGUAGGGGGCAAGCGUUGUCCGGAAUAAUUGGGCGUAAAGGGCGCGUAGGCGGCUCGGUAAGUCUGGAGUGAAAGUCCUGCUUUUAAGGUGGGAAUUGCUUUGGAUACUGUCGGGCUUGAGUGCAGGAGAGGUUAGUGGAAUUCCCAGUGUAGCGGUGAAAUGCGUAGAGAUUGGGAGGAACACCAGUGGCGAAGGCGACUAACUGGACUGUAACUGACGCUGAGGCGCGAAAGUGUGGGGAGCAAACAGGAUUAGAUACCCUGGUAGUCCACACUGUAAACGAUGAAUGCUAGGUGUAGGGGGUAUCGACCCCUUCUGUGCCGCAGUCAACACAAUAAGCAUUCCGCCUGGGGAGUACGGCCGCAAGGUUGAAACUCAAAGGAAUUGACGGGGGCCCGCACAAGCAGCGGAGCAUGUGGUUUAAUUCGAAGCAACGCGAAGAACCUUACCAAGUCUUGACAUCCCUCUGACCGUUCCUUAACCGGAACUUUCCUUCGGGACAGGGGAGACAGGUGGUGCAUGGUUGUCGUCAGCUCGUGUCGUGAGAUGUUGGGUUAAGUCCCGCAACGAGCGCAACCCUUAUCUUCAGUUACUAACGCGUGAGGGUGAGGACUCUGAAGAGACUGCCGGGGACAACUCGGAGGAAGGUGGGGACGACGUCAAAUCAUCAUGCCCCUUAUGACCUGGGCUACACACGUGCUACAAUGGCCACGACAGAGAGAAGCGAAAUCGUAAGGUAGAGCGGAACUCAAAAAAGUGGUCCCAGUUCGGAUUGUGGGCUGCAACCCGCCCACAUGAAGUCGGAGUUGCUAGUAAUCGCGGAUCAGCAUGCCGCGGUGAAUACGUUCCCGGGCCUUGUACACACCGCCCGUCACACCAUGGGAGUUGGGAGUGCCCAAAGCCGGUGAGGCAACCGCAAGGAGCCAGCCGUCUAAGGCAAGACCAAUGACUGGGGUG
rnacentral:rRNA from 1 species